GCUCUUGCCCUGUCAGUGAGAUACCCUGGAUUGGAAGUGCCUCGUCAGAGCUCUGGUCACAGAUCACCAGCCAGAACUCGCCCCACUUGGUCCCCCUCAGGGGUGUACCACCCACUCAGCCACUUGUGGCCUGUCCUGGUCUGGAGUCAGAGGAAAGCAGAAUGGUCCUGUCCUGGACGUCUGAGGGGAGAGACAGCAAGCUGUCCUGGACAGGGAGGCAAGGGGAAACUGAAAAUAUGCUCCCUCCCCCGUAUAGCUCAGCUGCCUCUGGAAAACUAGGCCUUCGGUGCUGAGACAUCUCCCCACGUUUCCGUUCUCUGGGUGCCUGUUGGGUCCCGCCCAGUCUGCUCUGGCGCCGGCUGUGGAAUCUGAUCUGGCCGAGAAGCAAAGGCUGUUUGUUCUCCAUGGUCACCCUCUUGGCCACCCUGAAACCAGCUCUGGAUCACUUUCCAGGGCAUCGUGGGUGACUAGGGGCCCCCAGAUGAGCCGUCCUGGCCCCAGAUCUGACUGGACUUGCUGGUAUUGCUAGGCCAAUGACUCAGCAAAAUCCCAACCCUCUGAGCCCCCUGGGGCCCUGAGGACAGCAUUGGGAAGUGCGCAAGGGUCACCUUGGAGCCCACUCACUCACCCCCGUCUUGGGCCACAUCAACCCUGACUCCUGUGGCUGAGUUUAUACCACCUUGGGCUACAGAGGAGGGGGCCAAAGCUUUAUCCCUCCUGCCUUUGGCUUGCUCCCACCUGAAACAGGUGUCAUAGGGCGAGAUGAGGUCCCACCUCCCCUGCUCACUCGCUGGUGAUGCUGAGCUGUGGCUUAGCCUCUCCAUACCUCAGUUUCUUCAUCUUUAUAAUGGGAAUCUCAAUGGGCCUUACCUCAGUGCAGCUCUGAGGGAGAACACACUCGUCCCUCCAUGGCUCUACUGACUUGCAGAAACACUUCCUGGCUCCAAAAUGUCUGCCCAGCUGAAUGGUUUCUGGAGUGCAAAGUCCAAGCAGGUGCAGGAGGGAUGCAACCCCAGCGGCCUCUGCUAGUGCAAAACCCAUGCUUCCUGUAUUCAAAUGUUGCUGAGCCCAGCUGUGGCCCCUACUGCUCUCUCCACCCCAUCAGAGCACCCACCCGGGCCAAAUUCAAACAUCCCUUUGCCACCCGCCUUCAAGCCCCCUAAAGCUACAGGGUUCUACCUCAUCAGUCAUACUACUGGCUCUUGAACUUGAUAGAAGUGUAAUGCCCUCCUGAGUUCUCUUCUGAGUCUGGCUAAUUCUGUUCAAUAUUCCAUCUCUGACAUUUAUCUAGGGUGUCGCCUGUAUGAGUCAUUCCUUUUUUUUCAUUGCUGAGUCCAUUGCAUGGCGGUACCAGUCUGUUCCCCUGCUCCCCUCCUGAUAAACGUCUGGAUUGUCUUCCAUCUGCGACCACUGAACAAAACAACCCUGGGUACUCUUGUACAUGUCUUUUGAGGAACACGCACCCGCUUCUGUUGUGUAAAUGCCCCGAGUGGCGAUCGUGGGUGGUAGGCAAGGCCUGUGUUCAGCUCUCAGAUUUGUAGCCAAGCAGACUUCCAACGCUGUUGGACCAGUUUACGCUCCCGCCCCCAGUGAAUGAGUUUCAGCGACUCUGUGUCUUCACCAACACUUGGCAUCGCAAUUGCCUUAAUUUUGCCAUUGGUCUCGCCAGAGUUUGAGUUCCUUAGCUGUUCUGCUGUCUUGGCGGCUUAGAGAUCCUAACUGAAAACAGCUGAUUUGUGUUGUAUGGAAAACACUCCUUUCUCAUCUUGCUCAGACACCUGCCCUUUUUAAUUGUCUUCGGGCAGAGCCUGAAGAGAAUUUACGAGACAUUAGGUAGCUUCUGAGAUGAUCCCCAAAGACCAUGGUGUCCUGGUGUUCAGACCCCUAUAAUCCCCUCCCUUGGGUAUGGGCUGGAUCUAGCAACUCACUUCUAACCAACCGAACACAGCAAGGGUGAUGGGUGUCGCUUCCAUGAUUAGGUUCUAAGCCAGUGGCUUCCAUCUGGUUGCAGACUCUCUUGCUGGUUUUGCUAAAGCAGACUGGCUUAUAAAAAGGCCCAUGUAUGAUGGGACUGAGGGCAGCCCCUUACCAACAGCCAGAAAGGAACCAAGCCCCUCAGUUCCGCAGCUUGUAGGGCAUGGAUGGACCCCUGCCAACAACCCCGAAGUGAGCUUGGAAGUAGAUCCCGCCCCUGUUGAACCCAGACUUCAGUCUGAAGGGGAGGUCUCAGCCAUGGUCUGAGCCAUGCCCAGAUUCCUGACCUCCAGAAACUGUCAGAUAAUAAAUGCGUGUCCUUCUUUUUUUUUUUUUUUUAAAGAUUUUAUUUAUUCAUUGGGCAGACAGAGAUCACAAGUAGGCAGAGAGAGAGGAGGAAGCAGGCUCCCCACUGAGCAGAGAGCCCGAUGUGGGGCUCGAUUCCAGGACCCCGGGAUCAUGACCCGAGCCAAAGGCAGAGGCUUUAACCCACUGAGCCACCCAGGCACCCCUAAAUGCGUGUCCUGAGCGGCUAACUUUGGAGGAUGAUUUACAGCAAGAGCUAACAGAUACAAACUCAAAGGAUACUGAAGUCGGAAAGAAAGAGUGCUGGAUUUUCAGAUAGUAUUUUUGUGAUUAUUGCUCCAUUUAUCCCAAUAAACUCAGUUUUGCAUCUUG